UACGUAGGGUGCAAGCGUUGUCCGGAAUUAUUGGGCGUAAAGAGCUCGUAGGCGGUCUGUCGCGUCUGCUGUGAAAACUCGGGGCUUAACCCCGGGCCUGCAGUGGGUACGGGCAGACUAGAGUGCGGUAGGGGAGACUGGAAUUCCUGGUGUAGCGGUGAAAUGCGUAGAUAUCUGGAGGAACACCGGUGGCGAAGGCGGCAUCCUGGACCGACACUGACGCUGAGGAGCGAAAGCGUGGGGAGCGAACAGG
rnacentral:rRNA from 1 species